GCAGAUCUAAAAGCAAAAGUUGAUGAAUUUGGCUGUGAUCGAUGUAAAGUUUUAAGUCUCUUAGGUGGAUUUUUCUUUUGGUUGAAGAAUACUGCUCAUGAAGGUGUAUUCAAGCCUUGGAUGGACUCUUUGUAUUUGAAUGCUUUGGGAUGACUACAGCUUUUGUAUAAAUCUAGCAAUAUAUAUACCUUAGUGUUAUAGUGCUACUGUUAACAUAUGCAGCAAUUGUUGCACUGGCACACAUUUUGUUUCUAGUUUUGGUAAUUGAUUUGUUUUUUUCUAAUUCUC